rnacentral:tRNA from 1 species
GGGAGGUUGGCCGAGUGGUUUAAGGCGUCAGAUUUAGGUUUUCAAAAUUAUUAUCAACUUAAUAAUUUAAAUAAACCCAAACAUUCUGAUAUCUUCGGAUGCAAGGGUUCGAAUCCCUUAUCUCUCA